ACAGUACCUGGCAGAAACAGCUCAAGGAGAGGGAAGGUAUGUCGUGGUUCCAUUUCAGAGCUUUAGUCCAUCUUGAUGGGAAGGUAUGGUGGACAGUUCAGUUCUUGGAUAGACGUGUGGGAGGGGAUUCGCUUCCCAGCUCCAGGAAGGAGAGAGGUCAGCCCUAGGGAGUGACUUCUGUCAAGUCGGCCUUAGCAUCUCAAGUUUCCAGAAUGUCUCAAAGUAGGGCCACCUCUGAGAAGAGGGCGUGGGAGCUUAGCCUGUUCACGGGGAAGCCUCAGCUGUGUUGAUCCAGUACUCCCAUUUUCUUACCUUUUUAAAGAUUUAUUGUUCCUUCAUAUGUAUAAAUAUUUUGCUCUCCGAGAAUGAAAGGUAUGACAGUAAUGAGGGACAGGGGUAGAAUGUCAUGGUGGCCUUGAAAGUAUUAUGUGUCUGGGGAGGAGCAUGGGCCUAGAGGGAAGAGUGCCUAGCACACUGCUUGUCCUGCAGGAUGUGUGGGAAGAACGCAUGCCCUCGGGGAGGAUAGACCACAAGGUGAGAGAUACUUAGAAGUUAGUGAGGACCAGAAAGUUUGUGUAGAGUUCAGGGUGUUCUGCGAUUGUGGGUGACCAGGCUUAGUAGGGCAGUGGGGUGGUGACUUCUUGUACUGCAGGAUGGAAAAGGUCCUAUCUAUGGAAUAGGAUGGUCACCCAGGUGCAGGUUAGACAAGGGUGUCCAGGCACCCUGGAAAUUGAGCUACUCCGUUCUGCUGCAGAGAGGCUUGAGGGCCAGGAUUGACUAGAAGCUAGGGUUCCAGGCCCUCCUUGGCAGGUAUCUAGGACAUCUUCCUAGAGGGAAAGGCCUGAAGCAGGCCUCAGAGAACCCCAUCCUGCUCGCUCUCCCACCACUGUGCUUCUAGAGUUAAGCCCAGGUUAGCUUCUCAGACCUGCACGUACCUAGUCCCUCCUCCACCUGCCAGGACUCUGUGCUUCAGGUGUUUCAGCUUCCUUGCCUGAGUCCUUUCUUAGCUGUACAACUUGGCAGUCUUUUAGCAAGGUCAUUCUUUCUGGAAUGCUCCAACCUGGCUCUUCUAGUGGAGUCAGCACUGAAUGUCUUCAGAGAGACUAGGCUGUUCCUAGUUACCCUCCUAUUUGCUCUGGCUGCUGUUCUCACCAUUGACCGCCCUUCCCCAUUUGCAUGUAAGGCCUGUCUGUCCUGCGACCUGUCAUUGAAGCCUAACAAGUCUCUGCCAUGAACUGUGUGUUCAUAGACUUUGACCAGAACUCAACGACUGGGGAGCUUAGAAACCACAGAAGUUUAAUUUUUACUAUUCAGUCCCAAGAUCAUGGUCAGAGUGAAAUCUUUGUCUCCCAAGGGUCACCUUCUGGUCUGUGGAUGUACCAUUCCAGUUUCAGUGCAAGGGGUGUGGGAAUUCCCUGGGAAAGGAAACUAAUCCCACUUCCAAAGGUUCUGUUGCCGUGUCUGAAUGCCCCUGAGGCUCUGUGUUCUAGCACCAGUGUCUGAAAGGUUAGGAUUUGGGGGAACCCUAGGUGCACAUUGUAGCCCAGCACGGCAGAUAACUAGUCCAUGUUAACAAAGGAAACGGCCAUGUUCCACCUUCAAGUUCACUGCAUGGAAGAUGUUAAUAAAACCCCCUGUUAUGUAAGCCAAGCAGUGGCUCUCAGAAGACUGACUAUGACCUACCAAGGUGCUGUGAAACAUUUAGUUACUGUGAUGGUUCCUAUAUGCCAGGCUCAAGGAGUGGCACUAUUAGAAGGUGUGGCUCUGUUGAAGUAACUGUGUCACUGUGGGUGUGUGCUAUAAGACCCUCAUCCUAGCUGCCUGGAAGACAGUAUUCUGCUAUCAGCCUUCAGAUGAAAAUGUAGAACUCUCAGCUCCUCCUUCACCACGUCUGCCUGAAUGCUGUGUGUUCUUGCCUUAAUGAUAAUGGACUGAACCUCUGGACCUGUAAGCCAGCCCUGAUUAAAUGUUGUCCUUAUGAGUUGCCUUGGUCAUAGUGUCUGUUCACAGCAGUAAAACUCUAAGACAAUUAACGUUUUUUUUUUAAUCAUAACACUCC
rnacentral:lncRNA from 1 species